rnacentral:rRNA from 1 species
UUGAACGCUGGCGGCAUGCCUUACACAUGCAAGUCGAACGGCAGCACGGACUUCGGUCUGGUGGCGAGUGGCGAACGGGUGAGUAAUACAUCGGAACGUGCCUAGUAGUGGGGGAUAACUACUCGAAAGAGUGGCUAAUACCGCAUGAGAUCUACGGAUGAAAGCAGGGGAUCGCAAGACCUUGUGCUACUAGAGCGGCCGAUGGCAGAUUAGGUAGUUGGUGGGAUAAAAGCUUACCAAGCCAACGAUCUGUAGCUGGUCUGAGAGGACGAUCAGCCACACUGGGACUGAGACACGGCCCAGACUCCUACGGGAGGCAGCAGUGGGGAAUUUUGGACAAUGGGCGAAAGCCUGAUCCAGCAAUGCCGCGUGCAGGAUGAAGGCCUUCGGGUUGUAAACUGCUUUUGUACGGAACGAAAAGCUUCGGGUUAAUACCCUGGAGUCAUGACGGUACCGUAAGAAUAAGCACCGGCUAACUACGUGCCAGCAGCCGCGGUAAUACGUAGGGUGCAAGCGUUAAUCGGAAUUACUGGGCGUAAAGCGUGCGCAGGCGGUUUUGUAAGACAGAGGUGAAAUCCCCGGGCUCAACCUGGGAACUGCCUUUGUGACUGCAAGGCUAGAGUACGGCAGAGGGGGAUGGAAUUCCGCGUGUAGCAGUGAAAUGCGUAGAUAUGCGGAGGAACACCGAUGGCGAAGGCAAUCCCCUGGGCCUGUACUGACGCUCAUGCACGAAAGCGUGGGGAGCAAACAGGAUUAGAUGCCCUGGUAGUCCACGCCCUAAACGAUGUCAACUGGUUGUUGGGUCUUCAUUGACUCAGUAACGAAGCUAACGCGUGAAGUUGACCGCCUGGGGAGUACGGCCGCAAGGUUGAAACUCAAAGGAAUUGACGGGGGCCCGCACAAGCAGUGGAGUAUGUGGUUUAAUUCGAAGCAACGCGAAGAACCUUACCUAGACUUGACAUCUCCUGCAUUACUCUUAAUCGAGGAAGUCCCUUCGGGGACAGGAUGACAGGUGGUGCAUGGUUGUCGUCAGCUCGUGUCGUGAGAUGUUGGGUUAAGUCCCGCAACGAGCGCAACCCCUAUUGUUAGUUGCUACGCAAGAGCACUCUAGCGAGACUGCCCGGGUUAACCGGGAGGAAGGUGGGGAUGACGUCAAGUCCUCAUGGCCCUUAUAGGUGGGGCUACACACGUCAUACAAUGGCUGGUACAAAGGGUUGCCAACCCGCGAGGGGGAGCUAAUCCCAUAAAGCCAGUCGUAGUCCGGAUCGCAGUCUGCAACUCGACUGCGUGAAGUCGGAAUCGCUAGUAAUCGUGGAUCAGCAUGUCACGGUGAAUACGUUCCCGGGUCUUGUACACACCGCCCGUCACACCAUGGGAGCGGGUCUCGCCAGAAGUAGGUAGCCUAACCGCAAGGAGGGCGCUUACCACGGCGGGGUUCGUGACUGGGGUG